rnacentral:rRNA from 1 species
AUGGCCCAAGAACACGCUCAUUCUUCAGCCGUAGAGAGACUUUUGAAUUGUGAGGUACCAUUACGAGCUCAAUAUAUAAGAGUGUUAUUCUGUGAAAUAACUCGAAUUUCAAAUCAUUCACUUGCUUCAACUACUCAUGCUAUGGAUGUGGGAGCAUCAACUCCGUUCCUUUGGGCUUUUGAGGAGCGGGAGAAAUUGUUGGAAUUCUAUGAAAGAGUCCCGGGAGCCAGGAUGCAUGCCAGUUUCAUACGACCUGGUGGAGUGGCACAAGAUCUGCCUCUUGGCUUAUGUCGAGAUAUUGAUUCCUCCACACAACAAUUUGCUUCUCGUAUCGACGAAUUAGAAGAGAUGUCAACCGGCAACCAUAUCUGGAAACAACGAUUAGUGGAUAUUGGUACUGUCACUGCACAGCAAGCAAAGGAUUGGGGAUUCAGUGGUGUAAUGUUAAGAGGUCGUGCGACAUGA